rnacentral:rRNA from 2 species
GCAGUCGAACGGUAACAUUUCUAGCUUGCUAGAAGAUGACGAGUGGCGGACGGGUGAGUAAUGCUUGGGAACUUGCCUUUGCGAGGGGGAUAACAGUUGGAAACGACUGCUAAUACCGCAUAAUGUCUUCGGACCAAACGGGGCUUCGGCUCCGGCGCAAAGAGAGGCCCAAGUGAGAUUAGCUAGUUGGUAAGGUAACGGCUUACCAAGGCGACGAUCUCUAGCUGUUCUGAGAGGAAGAUCAGCCACACUGGGACUGAGACACGGCCCAGACUCCUACGGGAGGCAGCAGUGGGGAAUAUUGCACAAUGGGGGAAACCCUGAUGCAGCCAUGCCGCGUGUGUGAAGAAGGCCUUCGGGUUGUAAAGCACUUUCAGUUGUGAGGAAAAGUUAGUAGUUAAUACCUGCUAACCGUGACGUUAACAACAGAAGAAGCACCGGCUAACUCCGUGCCAGCAGCCGCGGUAAUACGGAGGGUGCGAGCGUUAAUCGGAAUUACUGGGCGUAAAGCGCACGCAGGCGGUUUGUUAAGCUAGAUGUGAAAGCCCCGGGCUCAACCUGGGAUGGUCAUUUAGAACUGGCAGACUAGAGUCUUGGAGAGGGGAGUGGAAUUCCAGGUGUAGCGGUGAAAUGCGUAGAUAUCUGGAGGAACAUCAGUGGCGAAGGCGACUCCCUGGCCAAAGACUGACGCUCAUGUGCGAAAGUGUGGGUAGCGAACAGGAUUAGAUACCCUGGUAGUCCACACCGUAAACGCUGUCUACUAGCUGUGUGUGUCUUUAAGACGUGCGUAGCGAAGCUAACGCGCUAAGUAGACCGCCUGGGGAGUACGGCCGCAAGGUUAAAACUCAAAUGAAUUGACGGGGGCCCGCACAAGCGGUGGAGCAUGUGGUUUAAUUCGAUGCAACGCGAAGAACCUUACCUACACUUGAC